rnacentral:lncRNA from 1 species
AUUGCCCACAGUCAUCUUGUCCAAAAGAGAGGAUAAAAGUCAGCAGGUUGAAUUUUUUCCAAACUUCAGCUUGCAGCCUACAGCAUCUUGGAUCCUCAGCUACUUCAGCCGAAACUCAAGAAGACUGUCUUCACAGAGUCAAAGUGAAAAAAGAGUAGAGCAGACAGGGACAGCGGUCACUGCACAAAAUCAGCAGACUGCCAGGGCAGCCCCAUGUCUCUUCAGAACGUUGGGACAAACUAAAGUCGGUCUCAGGAAGAAACUGCUUCUCAUGUUCUCAUAAGAAAUUCUCCAAUUUGAAUAUUCAGCAGGAGAAGAAGGCUGACUGAAUACUUAGAUUUAACAACAAUGGUUAAACAUAUUCCUUUCUUAUGAUUCUGCUCCAUCUUUCUAAGAGUAAUUCAGUGUCAACAGCAACGGUGGUGGAGAGGAGUCACACUUUCCUCACCUUUAAUUGUAAAGUAAUUCAGAAAAAGAAAGAAAUUCUACUAGUCAUUAUGGCAAUUGUAAAAGCAGAAAGAAGGACAUUCCAGAGAAGGAAAAUGUUCUAACUCAGAGAAGGGAGCAUUUCAGCUCAUUCUUGACGGAUAUGUGAAAGUAAGUCAAAUACACUUGAAUGUUUGGGGAAAAAAAAUAAAAUAAGAGGUUGGGAUGCUAUCUUCCUCUUGCCUCAGUCAAAAUAGGCCAAAUUCAAAGCUUAAAAGGGCAGCAGAAGAUUAGAAAAUGCCUAAAGAGGAGAACUCAGAGAAAGAGAACCCUGAAAGACAAACUUCACUCACAUUAUAAUCUCCUAGGAGGCCAUUCAGUAUAACCAGAAAAGCAC